rnacentral:rRNA from 1 species
GACGAACGCUGGCGGCGUGCUUAACACAUGCAAGUCGAACGGUGAAGCUCCAGCUUGCUGGAGUGGAUCAGUGGCGAACGGGUGAGUAACACGUGAGCAACCUGCCCCUGACUCUGGAAUAAGCGCUGGAAACGGCGUCUAAUACUGGAUACGAGAAGGGUCCGCAUGGGCACUUUCUGGAAAGUUUUUCGGUUGGGGAUGGGCUCGCGGCCUAUCAGCUUGUUGGUGAGGUAAUGGCUCACCAAGGCGACGACGGGUAGCCGGCCUGAGAGGGCGACCGGCCACACUGGGACUGGGACACGGCCCAGACUCCUACGGGAGGCAGCAGUGGGGAAUAUUGCACAAUGGGCGAAAGCCUGAUGCAGCGACGCCGCGUGAGGGAUGACGGCCUUCGGGUUGUAAACCUCUUUCAGCAGGGAAGAAGCGAAAGUGACGGUACCUGCAGAAGAAGCACCGGCUAACUACGU